CCAAAGGACUAUAUCUGCCGUGAUUCGCACAACGAAUGCGAUCUGCCAGAAUAUUGUGAUGGUGAAAUUGGUCACUGCCCAGCUGAUGUGUUUAGAAAGAAUGGAUCACCGUGUGGACAUACUAAAGCAGGAACAUCGGGUUACUGCUUUCAAGGUGACUGUCCCACCUUGAAUCUGCAAUGCGAAGCCAUCUGGGGCUAUGGUGGCUCGGCGGCCGAUCGGCAAUGCUAUGAGCAAUUCAAUUCAAAGGGUUCAAUCAAUGGCCAUUGUGGGCGUGACGCAAAUGAACAUUACAUCAAAUGCGAGCCAGAAAAUGUUCAAUGUGGCACACUGCAAUGCAAGGAGGGCGAACGGCAGCCAGUCAAUGAUGGCAUUGAUCAACUUUAUUCGAAUACAAUAAUCUCAAUAAAAGGAUUGGAGUAUGAAUGCAAAGCCACCAGCGGUCAAGUGGGCACCAAUGAAUAUCCAGAACAUGGCUUGGUGAAGGAUGGUACGCCAUGCGGUAAAGAUUUGAUUUGUCUGAAUCAGACUUGCGUCAGCAUUUUUUCCACACAUCGA